CAGCAUGCUGCAGAUGAAAGGAUAAGACUUGAAGAGCUACGUAAAAAGGUUUUACAUGGUGAGUUACAGAACAGUACUUACCUUAAUCCAGAGCACGAACUGGUUCUUCCAGAGUUGGGAUAUCAACUGCUUCAAAAGUAUGCAGAGCAGAUAAAGAAAUGGGGUUGGAUCUGCAACAUUCACAGUCAUUGUUCAGAGUCGUUU